GGGGAUUUAGCUCAGUGGUAGAGCGCUUGCCUAGCAAGUGCAAGGCCCUGGAUUCAGUCCUCA
rnacentral:tRNA from 1 species